GGAAAUCUCACCAGGCCCGGACAAUGGAAGGAUUGACAGAUUGAUACCUCUUUCUUGAUUCUGUGGGUGGUGGUGCAUGGCCAUUCUUAGUUGGUGGAGUGAUUUGUCUGGUUAAUUCCGAUAACGAACGAGACCUCGACCUGCUAAAUAGAGCGACGAAUCCUUGUGAUUCGUUGGUACUUCUUAGAGGGACUGUUGGUGCCUAGCCAAUGGAAGUUCGAGGCAAUAA
rnacentral:rRNA from 1 species